rnacentral:rRNA from 1 species
AUUGAACGCUGGCGGCAUGCCUUACACAUGCAAGUCGAACGGCAGCACGGGAGCUUGCUCCUGGUGGCGAGUGGCGAACGGGUGAGUAAUACAUCGGAACGUACCCUGAAGUGGGGGAUAACGUAGCGAAAGUUACGCUAAUACCGCAUAUUCUGUGAGCAGGAAAGAGGGGGAUCGCAAGACCUCUUGCUUUAGGAGCGGCCGAUGUCGGAUUAGCUAGUUGGUGAGGUAAAGGCUCACCAAGGCGACGAUCCGUAGCGGGUCUGAGAGGAUGAUCCGCCACACUGGGACUGAGACACGGCCCAGACUCCUACGGGAGGCAGCAGUGGGGAAUUUUGGACAAUGGCGCAAGCCUGAUCCAGCCAUGCCGCGUGAGUGAAGAAGGCCU